CCACAACUAAACGGCGCCUACAGCUUCUGCCUUCUGGUACAUCGAAAACUUCUGUCGUCAACAUGAGAGCUAAGUGGAAGAAGAAGAGAAUGAGGAGAUUGAAGAGGAAGCGCCGAAAGAUGAGACAGAGAUCUAAGUAACUGUCUUAUGUUGCCGUUUUGGCAGGUUUUUGAGUUAUCAGGUUUUGUUGGAACAAUUGUCUGUCAUUUUGUUUUCGGAUAUUAUGAAUUAUGAUCCUUUAAUUUACAAUUUUAAUUUACUUUU
rnacentral:lncRNA from 1 species